GAUGAACGCUGGCGGCGUGCCUAGUACAUGCAAGUCGAGCGAACAGACGAGGAGCUUGCUCCUCUGACGUUAGCGGCGGACGGGUGAGUAACACGUGGAUAACCUACCUAUAAGACUGGGUUAACUUCGGGAAACCGGAGCUAAUACCGGAUAAUAUAUUGAACCGCAUGGUUCAAUAGUGAAAGACGGUUUUGCUGUCACUUAUAGAUGGAUCCGCGCCGCAUUAGCUAGUUGGUAAGGUAACGGCUUACCAAGGCGACGAUGCGUAGCCGACCUGAGAGGGUGAUCGGCCACACUGGAACUGAGACACGGUCCAGACUCCUACGGGAGGCAGCAGUAGGGAAUCUUCCGCAAUGGGCGAAAGCCUGACGGAGCAACGCCGCGUGAGUGAUGAAGGUCUUCGGAUCGUAAAACUCUGUUAUUAGGGAAGAACAAAUGUGUAAGUAACUAUGCACGUCUUGACGGUACCUAAUCAGAAAGCCACGGCUAACUACGUG
rnacentral:rRNA from 1 species